rnacentral:rRNA from 1 species
GACGAACGCUGGCGGCGUGCUUAACACAUGCAAGUCGAACGGUAAGGCCCUUCGGGGUACACGAGUGGCGAACGGGUGAGUAACACGUGGUGAUCUGCCCUGCACUUCGGGAUAAGCCUGGGAAACUGGGUCUAAUACCGGAUAGGACCAUGGACUUCACGGUUUGUGGUGGAAAGCUUUUGCGGUGUGGGAUGGGCCCGCGGCCUAUCAGCUUGUUGGUGGGGUAAUGGCCUACCAAGGCGACGACGGGUAGCCGGCCUGAGAGGGUGUCCGGCCACACUGGGACUGAGAUACGGCCCAGACUCCUACGGGAGGCAGCAGUGGGGAAUAUUGCACAAUGGGCGCAAGCCUGAUGCAGCGACGCCGCGUGAGGGAUGACGGCC